UCAAAGUAUGAAUUAGUCAUUUUGAGUUUGAUUAUGAAAAGAGCUUGAUGUUGGGUUAGACGUUUAUUUGUGUUGACGGAUGAAUUGGGAAAAUGGUUUUGAAUGCUUGAAUUUUGAUAGUGGAAAUGAUUUGACUUGAAGAGAUACUUAACGUUGGGUCAAUCACUCGUGUUGCAUUCUAUUGAAUUUGAUUUGGAAAAAGACUUGGAUCAAGCAUAUUUUUGUUCUACUUUCUUU
rnacentral:lncRNA from 1 species